ensembl:lncRNA LINC00507 long intergenic non-protein coding RNA 507
ACAGGCAUAUUUUCCACCAGCUUUUAACAACCCACCACCUCCUUUUCCCCUUCCCUCCCACACAAUAACUGGGAUGACUUGUCUAGAUCUUAGGCAACAAUUCUCUUAGCACAUCAGCUCCUGGAAACAAAUGCACUUAACCAGAAAAACAGGGACAUCAACCAGCAAAGAUGCAUCCUCAUUUAAUAGAGCUUGAAAUUACUAUAAUCUGUAAAGUACAGCGAGAAGAAGAAGUUUCACCUGCCUGCACAUCUGUCGUUGACUCUCCAUCUGACUUGGAGGGACUCUGAGGGACCAACCUGAGCCUGAGAAGAGGCAAGAUUCCCCUUCAAGGACACACUGGGAACUUACGGACCUCUUUCUCCAUGGUGCAGAGCGCAGAGGCUACCUGAGAAUAUCCAGAGACUACAGAGGUCAUCAAGUUGACGCAUCAAUGUUUACAUGUGAACAAACAGACGCAUAAUAGCUCUUGAGCUUGCCAUUGGGAAGUGAAAAUCAACUGCUUGAAUAAAUGUAAGGACUCAGGUAGACAUCACCUUGUGACUCAACAGCAGCCAAUAAGAUGGAAAUAAAGGCCAUGAAGUUAUCGGAUGGCAUCUACAAGGAAUACUUAGAUGAGGAGGUGACUCUGGUAGCAAUUGUUCUUUUGUCUUUCUCACCUUCCUUCUUGUCCUGUCUGGGAUGCUGAAGUGAUGGCUGGUAUACAGAUGCCCUGUUGUGAUGUUGAGAUAAACAUGAGAAUAAAAGUCGGCGAUUACAGAUGGCAGAGAAGAGAGAGAAAGAUAGGAUGUAGGUGGAUAUUGACGGAACUAAGUUUCUAUUGCACAAGUUCUACCACCAACCUCUGGACUUCAUGAUAUGUGAGGGAGAAAUAAACUCCUAUUUUAGAAGAGAUCUAUGUUACCUGCAACUGAACGGAAUGCUUAAUUGGCACAUCCUAUGUGCUCCAAACCUUCCUUAAUUUCUGUGUGUAAGGCAUACUUAGUCUUUACCCAUUAUUCUGUUCACAUUCAUUCACUUGAUCAGCCUCCCAACUCUAUGGUAAAGAGUUUACUACAGUUUACUCUAUUAGUAAGGGAGAUUCUGGAGCAAGCCCCACAAAUCAUAGAUUGAAUACCCAUUCAUUAAGAGAGAGAUUUAAAGAUACUUCUAUCCAAACACAUUUUAAAUUUCCAGCACCUUUGAGGUGGUGGAGGUUCAUGGUGGUUGAUAGGGUUUAAAUGACUUGUGAUUCAAGCUCCAUAUUACAAUGUAACAGUGCAAAAGUUCAUUUUUUUAAAUUUAUUUUACUUUAAGUUCUGGUAUACAUGUGUAGAACAUGCGGGUUUGUUACAUAGGUAUACAUGUGCCAUGGUGGUUUGCUGCACCUAUCAAACCGUCACCUAGGUUUUAAGAACCACAUGCAUUAGGUAUUUGACCUAAUGCUCUCCCUCAUGUUGCCCCCCAACUCCCUGACAGGGCCCAGUGUGUGAUGUUCCCCUCCCUGUGUCCAUGUGUUCUCAUUGUUCAACUCCCACUUAUGAGUGAGAACAUGUGGUGUUUGAUUUUCUGUUCCUGUGUUAGUUUGCUGAGAAUGAUGGCUUCCAGCUUCAUCCAUGUCCCUGCAAAGGACACGAACUCAUUCUUUUUUAUGGCUUCAUAAUAUUCCAUGAGUCUGGAUUUGGUUACAGAUAGAGCUGGACAAGCCUUAGCUAUAUCUAAUGGCUUUUGACAUGUUAUAUCAAUUUCUUACUGCUUUUGUAAAUGAAUAUAUUAAGAAGAAAAAAUUACAAAUGACCCUUUCUUCACAAACUUUUAGGGUAAUCAAGUUCAGUUAUUAAAAAAUGGAUGUUUGCAACAUUCAUAGUAAUUAUUUUCAGAAAAUUAAAAAUGAUUAAAAAUUAUAUUUUCAUCCCAUUCAGAUAUUAUAUAUUUAACUGUGAGAUAAUUCUCAGAGAUAAAUGUCAACUUUUAAAAAAUGCUAAAUAAAUUAAAUCAAAAUAUCCCCUCUAAAAUAAAUAAAUUAGCUCCGAUUAUUUCUUCUUUUUAAAUUUUUCCUUAUAGUUGUAAAAAUAAAGUGAACGUUUUGGCUCAUUUCCUCAUUAAAGUUUGAAUUUUCCAGUCA